rnacentral:rRNA from 1 species
GAUGAACGCUGGCGGCGUGCCUAAUACAUGCAAGUCGAGCGAACGGACGAGAAGCUUGCUUCUCUGAUGUUAGCGGCGGACGGGUGAGUAACACGUGGAUAACCUACCUAUAAGACUGGGAUAACUUCGGGAAACCGGAUCUAAUACCGGAUGAUAUUUUGAACCGCAUGGUUCAAAAGUGAAAGACGGUCUUGCUGUCACUUAUAGAUGGAUCCGCGCUGCAUUAGCUAGUUGGUAAGGUAACGGCUUACCAAGGCAACGAUGCAUAGCCGACCUGAGAGGGUGAUCGGCCACACGGGAACUGAGACACGGUCCAGACUCCUACGGGAGGCAGCAGUAGGGAAUCUUCCGCAAGGGGCGAAAGCCUGACGGAGCAACGCCGCGUGAGUGAUGAAGGUCUUCGGAUCGGAAAACUCUGUUAUUAGGAAAGAACAUAUGUGUAAGUAACUGUGCACAUCUUGACGGUACCUAAUCAGAAAGCCACGGCUAACUACGUG